rnacentral:tRNA from 1 species
AGUAAUAUGUCUGAUUUAAGUAAUAAACUGUAAAUUUAUUUAAAGAUUUAAUUAUCUUAUUACUA